AUUGAACGCUGGCGGCAGGCCUAACACAUGCAAGUCGAACGAGUGGCGGACGGGUGAGUAAUGUCUGGGAAACUGCCUGAUGGAGGGGGAUAACUACUGGAAACGGUAGCUAAUACCGCAUACCAUCAGAUGUGCCCAGAUGGGAUUAGCUAGUAGGUGGGGUAAUGGCUCACCUAGGCGACGAUCCCUAGCUGGGCUGAGAGGAUGACCAGCAACACUGGAACUGAGACACGGGCCAGAAUCCGACGGGAGGCAGCAGUGGGGAAUAUUGCACAAUUGGGGCAAGCCUGAUACAGCCAUGCCGCGUGUGUGAAGAAGGCCUUCGGGUUGUAAAGUACUUUCAGCGGGGAGGCGUUACUCGCAGAAGAAGCACCGGCUAACUCCGUGCCAGCAGCCGCGGUAAUUC
rnacentral:rRNA from 1 species